rnacentral:rRNA from 1 species
CCGCGUGGGUGAAGAAGGCCUUCGGGUUGUAAAGCCCUUUUGUUGGGGAGGAAGGCCWGCYGGUUAAUACCUGGUUGGUUUGACGUUACCCACAGAAUAAGCACCGGCUAACUUCGUGCCAGCAGCCGCGGUAAUACGAAGGGUGCAAGCGUUAAUCGGAAUUACUGGGCGUAAAGCGUGCGUAGGUGGUCGUUUAAGUCGGAUGUGAAAUCCCCGGGCUCAACCUGGGAACUGCAUUCGAAACUGGCAAGCUAGAGUGUGGUAGAGGGGGCGGAAUUCCSGGUGUAGCGGUGAAAUGCGUAGAGAUCAGGAGGAACA